rnacentral:lncRNA from 1 species
UCCAAUAGACAAUAACCCAUCAGAUUUCCUCUUCCCAAAACCCUACAUCUAUUUUAUAUCUCAUUUCUCUCAUGCAAGAGAGGCCAACCAUUCCAACAUUGAAAACACCCCAAGAAGAACAUAAAUCCUAAUUCCUAAAAGCUAAGAAUGGCAACCGUUACCAGAACCUAACGACCUAAUUCCAAAAAGCUUCAGCGACACUCCAAAAUUAGAGACUCUCGUCUCUCUAUUAUACACACUGGCAGAUUUCCCUCCCCACCUUCUAAAUUUAUUUUCUUUGUGUUUUCAAUUGGAAAAGAAACACGUACACAGUAAUAUACACAAGAGAAAGAGAACCAGCCAUCCCUCUACGCCUCUCUCUCUUCUUUCUUUCGCUGUUGUUACAUCCCCGGAAACGGCCCAAAUCCGGCAACCUCUAUAGAAAACGACUAUGUCUAGCCAUAGAGAAAUCAGAUCCGGCUGGUUUUUUAAUUUUUUGGCAAAUUUGUCCGUCCAAGGCCUUGUUCGCAGUUCCGGUUCUGGGUCCGGUGCUUUUGUUGGGUUGCGAGUUUCCCCUUCAUUUUGUACAUUCUUGAUCUUGUUGAAUCAGUUUUGGAAAGAAAAUUCUCAAAGAAAUUGAACAUGUAUUGAUCGAUCGAGAGGGUUCUGUUUUUCAGAAUUAUAGCUUCAAUUGAGGUAAGUUAAUAGAUUCUUCUCUAUUUUAGAAAUGGUUUUUACAUCUAGUAGAAAGAUAUUUUGAUUUUCCUUUUCUCUUCUCUUGCCCUUUUGUUAUCUACUUAGAAAAGAGAGGAAUCAAGUUUAAAUUAUAUGACCUAUACUUGUAUAGAUAUGGUUUUUCACGAGAAAAAUGAUUUAAAUCAACAAGUCUUAAAGAAAAGUUAUGGUCAAUUCAUGAUAGUUGUAAAUCUCCAGUUUUGGUUGAGGUAUUUACUAAAAAUUUAGUAGUGAUUGCUCCUUUAGCAUUGGGAAAAUUGGGAGUGGCUUCCAUUUCUAUUUAUAAAACUACAAACUAUUUAGACGUGUCUGUGGUGGGGGAAGACAGCAAGAAUAAAAAUGAAAUUUAUCGUUAAUUAUUCGAAAUAGUUAGUUGCUUUAGGGGUGUAAUAAAUUAUCGUGACUAUAGGUACGGUUUUCGUGACAAGUUCACGAUACGUAAUCCCCAAUUCGAGUGUGUAUUUCACGUGACUCGGCCAUAAUUUCGAAUAAUAAUAAAAAUAAACAUAUCGUAAAUCGCGGAUGCAUUUCAUGUGGCGUGGUUUGCAACGUGUACCAAAAUAACGAGUGCGCGACAUCGCAACUUGUUCAAAAAUUCGAUAAAUACUAAAAGCGGUCAAAUCAUUAAAAGCGGUUAGAAAGUUAAAAAUGCACAAUAUGUUUUGAACAUGUAAUAAAUCAGAUAAUUAGGCCAAUUAUUGAUAGUUGAGCGACCAUGCUAAAACCACAGAACUCGGGAGUGCCUCACACCUUCUCCUAGGUUUAUAGAAUUCCUUACCCGGUCUUCAGUGUUCGCGGACCAAAAAUAGAGUCAAUUUCCUUGAUUUAGGAUUUUAAAAUAAACCGGUGACUUGGGACACCAUAAAUUAUUCCAAGUAGCGACUUCGAAUCAAAUAAAUAAUCUCAUUUCGAUUAUUGUUACUUUAAUUGAAAAAACUCCCUAUCCCCCUCGAGAAAAAGGAGGUGUGAUAGACAAAUAAAGUCAUAUCCUAAGGGUUAUUCCCUCAACAAGAUUAGGCAACAUACUUACCUCAUAUGUACUAGCCAUCAAUCGUAGAUCGCGCAAAAACCUCGCUCUAUCCCUCCAAUCAUGCAAAUCCGAGCCAUUCAUCACCCAAUAAAGUCAACAAUGCUAUAGGAAGUGAUCAACAACAAUAACAACCUAGUAUAAUCUCACAAGUGGAGUCUAAGUAAGGUAGUGUGUAUACAGACCUUACUUCUACCCUGGUGGGGUAGAGAGGCUAUUUUUCGAUAGGCCAUCGGCUCAAGAAGAUGAAAAAUGACAAUAGAACAGUAACACCAACAGGGAUCAGAAAGAUAAUACCAGCAAUCUAAGAACUAGAAAAAUAGAUGGAAAAAGCAAUACCAAUAACUUGUAACAAUGACGAGGUACUAGGAAAUUGGAGCAGAAAAAUAGUGUGAACACAACAUGAACCACUAGCAUUCUAAGUCAAUGCACUAUCAGACUAGCCUUACACCCAGUACAGAGUAGAAAAAUUCUCAACUAGCUCCUAACCUUUAACCCUAAUGCUUGACCUCCUCACCUUCCUAUCAAGGGUCAAGUCCUUCAUAAGCUGAAGUCGUGCCAUGUCCUACCUGAUCAUCUUUCCCCAAUACGUCUUAGCCAACACUCUAUCUCUACUCAUACCGGCCAAGACUAACCACUCACACCUCUUUACUGGGGUAUCUAGGCUUUUCCUAUGCACAUGCCCAAACCAUCUAAGCCUCACUUCCGGCAUUUUGUCUUCCAUGGGGGCCACGCUCACCUUCCCCCAAAUAUCUUCAUUUCUAAUCUUUUCCAACCUAGUGUGCCUACACAUCCAUCUCAACAUCCUCAUUUCUAUUACUUUCAUCUUCUGGAUAAGGAAAUUCUUGAAUGGGCAAUACUCUGUCUCAUACAACAUGGCCAGUCUAACCACUCCUCUAUAGAAAUUACUUUUAAGUUUUUGUGGCAUAUUCUUCUCACACAAGACAUGAUAUGCUAACCUCUAUUUCAUCCACCCCGUCCUUAUAUAGUGCGUGAAAUCCUCAUCAAUCUCCCUAUCCCCCUAGAUAACUGACCCAAGAUACUUAAAACUUCUUCUUUGGGGGAUGACUUGUGAAUCAAGUCUCACAUCCAUGUCCGCUUCCCCUGCCACAUUGUUGAACUUGCACUUCAAGUAUUCUGUCUUUGUCCUGCUCAACAUGAAACCUUUAGACUCAAGGGCCUGUCUCCAAACCUCCAACAUCUUGUUAACAUGCUCCAUGGCACCUGAUACGCUCAAAUUACACUUAAAUUAAUAGUGUAAGGCGGUGGUGUCAAAUAUAAUAACCCAACAAGGUUGGGAUCAAAUCCCACAAGGAAUAGGUGUGAAAAGAUUACUUUAAUAGUAUGAAACUUGACUUGAGUCGUAAUUAUGCUCCUUUAGCUUAAAAAGAGAAUGAUAUAAUUGUGAAUUAACAAGAUAACUAUUUUUUGUGAGAAUAAAACGUCAUGUUAUCGGUAUUGAUAUGAUAUAUUUCUAAUUUAAGGUCAUUUGAUAUGCAAAUGGUUUCUAAAUGACUGUCCAAUAUUUCCCAAUAGUUGGGUAGUAUUUUCUCUUUAUGAUUUUUCCAAAUAUAAAAGAGUUACAAUUAAGAAUAACCAAUUUAUGCCAAGUAGAACCCACGUAUUUCUAAGUGAUUCUAUUAAACAAGGUUUAAAGCUUUGAGUUCUUAAUAUUCACUUCUACCAAACCCUAACCCACUUUUUCAAGUAAAGGUGAAGUAAAAUGGAAUGAGUCAAUGUUUGCAACCACCGGCAAUAAAUAAAGCAUAAGAAAUGAAUANNNNNNNNNNNNNNNNNNNNNNNNNNNNNNNNNNNNNNNNNNNNNNNNNNNNNNNNNNNNNNNNNNNNNNNNNNNNNNNNNNNNNNNNNNNNNNNNNNNNNNNNNNNNNNNNNNNNNNNNNNNNNNNNNNNNNNNNNNNNNNNNNNNNNNNNNNNNNNNNNNNNNNNNNNNNNNNNNNNNNNNNNNNNNNNNNNNNNNNNNNNNNNNNNNNNNNNNNNNNNNNNNNNNNNNNNNNNNNNNNNNNNNNNNNNNNNNNNNNNNNNNNNNNNNNNNNNNNNNNNNNNNNNNNNNNNNNNNNNNNNNNNNNNNNNNNNUAGUGGACUAAUAUCGAGGUCAAGAUUGGACAAAAUUACCCCUGCAGAGCCCUUCUGCGACCGCAUAAUGGUGGCAUACCAUGUAUGUGGUCCGCAUAAUUGAAACAGGCAUUGCAUAUUGCAGGUCUCGGAGCCCAGUUCUCCAUAUCAUUCCGGUUAUGCGGUCCGCAUAGCAAUUAUGCGACCGCAGACUUCAUCGCAAAAGUGUUAAGCCAAAUUUACAGUUGCGAUUGUGCAGUCAUUAUGCGGUCCGCAGAAGUUUUAUGUGACUGCAUAAUGGAAUGCAUAAUCUUCUCUUCAGUUCCCAAAAGAACUACUCCAGUCUGCGGUGGGUUUGCGGCCCGCACAUCACUUCUGCGGUCGCAGACCUGCCGCAUUUCUGCCCUUUUAUGGAUUCUUGAUUUCUUUUUCAUGUUUUUGGUUCUUCAAGUCUCGUGCACUACAAAACACCAAAAAUUAAUAAGACUUAACUAAAAAUGCUUUGAAAGAUGAGCUAAUGUCUAUGUAAUUGGUAUCAAAAGUGUCGUAAUUCUACGGCACAUCAGCGCCUACCAUUUAUUAUGAUGUGUCAGUAUGUCCAUCGCCAAUGCAAAUAAGAACGGGCCGAGCAUAUAUCCUUAGUGUAACCCCAUAACAGCCGAAAAAUUCUUUGAGUCCCCUCCUGCUAUCCUAACUAGAGUCUUAGCUCCAUCAUACAUGUUCUUAAUCCCCCUAAUGUACGCUACCGGAACACCUUUUACCUCCAGGAAUCUCAAAAGAACCUGCCUAGGGACCUUAUCAUAUGCUUUCUCUAGGUCAAUAAACACCAUGUGAAAAUCUUACUUCCUAUCCGUGUAAUGUUCCACCAACCUCCUAAUAAGAUGGAUAGCUUCAAUAGUUGAACGACCAUGCAAGAAUCUAAACUGCUUCUCAGAUAUAGACACCGACCUCCACACCCUCACCUCCACCACCCUUUCCCAAACUUUCAUAGUAUGACUAAGCAACUUGAUGUCCCUAUACUUGUUACAAUUCUGGUCAUCACCUUUGUUUGUACAACGAGAUCAUUGUACUCACCUUAAUUCAUCUAGCUUCGUCCUAAAAAUAAUGUUAAAAAGUCCAGUCAGUCACUCCAAGCCUGCUCUACCCGAAUACCUCCAAAAUUCUACCGAAAUUUCAUCUAGCUCAGUCGCUCUACCCCUGCUCAUCUUACGCAUAUCACCCACGACUUCUCAACAUUAAUGUGCCUACAGUACCUAAGAUCUCGGUGACUCUUGGAGUACUCCUAUUCACCAUGCACAAUUUCUCUAUCCCCAUCUUCAUUCAGAAGUAUAUAAAAGUAAGUGUGCCAUCUUCACUUAAUCUGAGCCUCUUCCAUUAAAACUCUACCUUCCUCGUCUUUGAUGCACCUCACUUGGUCCAGAUCAUGAGCCUUCUCUCUCUCACCUUGGUCAACUGGAAUAACUUUGUGUCCCCGCAUUUGUCCCCUAGUUCUUUAUAUAAGUGACCAAACGUUGUAGGCUUAACCUCCGUGACUGCUAACUUCACCUCCUUCCUAGCCUUUUUAUAUCUUUUUAUGUUCGCUCUCCUCUCCUUCUCAUCUAUGGUCUCCACUACUUCAGGUAAGUUGCUUUCUUUUCUUCCACUUUUCCCUGGACCUCUGCAUUCCACCACUAGUCUCCUCUGUGACCGCUAGAGUAACCUUUCGAGACCCCUAACAUCUCUCUUGUAGCCUCUCUAAUACAGUUCAUUCUUACCUAUCCACCAAAAUACCCACUCCAUUCUUACCCUUCAUGCUUCCUGAGUACCACAAUUUAAACCCGUCUGGAUCUCUCACCUUUGUUCCUACCCACCUAAUCUCCUAGACAAAAGCUAUGUUGACCUUCCUCUUCUGGAGAAUCUUUGCCAACUCUAUAGACUUACCGUCAACUUCCCUAUGUUCCACGACCUAAUUCUCAACCUAUAGGCUACUAUGUUUCCCUUGCCCCUGUCCUACCCCUAUUCCCUGCCCCAACCCCCAUCCUGCCAGAGGACAUGACCUUAUUCUACCAUCAUAAACCACAUCCACUAUAACCUAUGGUAAACUAGGGUAAUUUCAACCCAAAAUAAUCAAUGGAACAAACUUGAAGAAAACAAGCUGCAACUAUAGGCACACUAGUAGUAUGUCUAAACCAGUACAAACUAAUAUGACAAUAAUUUAACUAACACAAGAGAAAGGUAUACAAGAAGGCAGGAGGUACCAACUCUCGAGAGUAGAACCUGGAAUGUAGUCUUGGUUUACACCCGAAGUUGCGGAACCUGACGCAUUCACUUCCAACUUCCUACCAUCCCUUGCUAACGCCAAUCGGAGAUGUUCCACACUACUUGCAUGUGCGCCUCCCGCUCGUCUCCAAAACCCGCGGAUAACAACCUAAAAACACAACAAAACAACCACGAAACCAAAAGGCUAGGAGGGGGGCUGUCACUGCUAUGAUUAGUGACACAGACUCUAUGAUAGCACUGGCUAUCCAUUUUGAUGUCAUCGAAGCAAACAACUAUUGCCGACAAAGGCAGUGAAGAUGGACAAAAAAAUAUAACAAAAGCGAAAGAGAGGGGCGACAUAAGAAGAAAGAGGGGAAGAGGGUUAGAGGAGGCACAAAAGGAAGGGAAAAGGGGUCAUCGGCUAGAACUGUUGUUGGCGGAAGACAACCCCUACUAGGGUUUAUAAAAGCCAAGGGAAGAGAGAAGUGAGAGGAGAGAGAAAUGAGGAGAGACAAGAGAGGGAGAGGGGAGGGAUGGGCCUACCUGGGUGGCUUAGUGGACGCCAGCACCGAUAAGAACGUCCGUGGAGAUUUUACCCUUGGUCGAAGAGAAGAGAAUAGAGAGUUGAAAAGAGAGAGAGAGGGAGAGAGAGAGAGAGAGAUAGAGGAUGAGUUUUGGUUCUGCUAUAGGAAGAGAUCCCAAUCCAUAAAACUUUGAUCUUUGAACAACAACAACAAUAACAUACCAGUAGUGCGUAUGCAGACAUUACCCCUACCUGGUGAUAGAGAGGCUGACCCUCGACUCAAGAAAAGGUAAAAAGUAAGAAAAGGGAAUAAGAAGAAAGAGAAAGAAGAAAGAAAGAAGAGGAAGACAAAAGUCGAUAAGGAAAAAGGGGAAAAAACGAAAGCCAGAAAAAAGUAGCAUGAAAUAGUAACAAUAGAGAAAUAAUAUACACGAAGCUAACGAAACAACAGGAAAAUAAUAGAGAUCAAAGAAUAUGAAAAUACAAUAGCGCUACUAAUAAUACUGGUAAUAAAAGGGGUACUCUUGACUACCUACUAGCUUUCUACCCUAAUUCUUAACCUCCAAACCCUUCUAUCAUGGGUCAUAUUUUCAAUAAGCUAAAGCAGUGCCAUGUUCUGCCUAAUCACGUCUUCUCAAUACUUCUUUGGCCUAUCUCUACCUCUUCUUAGACCCUCUAUGGCCAACCUAACAACUCCAGUAGGAGCAUCUGUACUUCUACUUUUCAUGUGCCCGAACUAUCUCAGCCUCGACUCCCGCAUCUUAUCCUCCAUAGGGGCCUGCAUGCCCGAAAUCCGGAACCAAUACCAAAAUUUGAUAACGCAUAACCUGUCGAGUCCAAAUAUAUAAUUAAUUUCAAAAAUCGAGUCCAAAUCGGUACUCAAUCUCCAAAUACACUCUCUUAAAGUGUAGACAAAAUUUCAAACUCUUCUCAAAAUUUUAUAUUUUGGGUGUUAAUAAUUAAUAUAUGUUCUUGAAAUAUUAUCAUAAAAUAAGUAAAUAUUAUUUAUCCCUUAAUCUUGUAUAAAAUUCUCCAAGCAAAAUCACCCAUCACCAAUAACAAGGGCUUAAAAUAUGAAAGAACGGGUAAAAAUCCCAGAAUAUAAUACUUAUAAAGUCUGCCCAGGGGUAACGCGGUCGUCCAAGUCUCACGUUUGCGAAGAACAAACAACCUUAGUCCCAAAAAAUCCUUCGCAAACAUGAAAGUUCUUUGGCGAAUGCGAAGCACCAACAUGCCAAUCCUACGCGAAUGCAAGCUCAGCUUCGCGACCGCAAAGGCCAACUCCCCUCCUGACUCACCUACCACGCGAAUGCAAAGCUUAUCCGACGGACACGAUGACUAACCAAUCCACACCCUAAACAAAUGUGAGUCCCUGAUGCAAAUGUGAAGUACAUAAAUACCGUUGCCAGAAACUUUCAUCGUGAACAUGAUAGCAUCCUCCCAAACGCGAUGAACACUAGACAGCAGCAAAGCCUAAUGCUCCAAACUCAUGGAAGUGGACCGAAACUAGCCGGAGACAAAUCCGAGUCCCUUGGGACCCCAUCCAAUCAUACCAAUAAGUUCAAAUACAUUUUCCAAACUUACCCAAAGGCUCAAAGCACCACAAUUUAUAUCAACACCAAGAACGGGGAUCGAAUCGUUCUCUUAAUAUUCAAACCUUCAAACUACGCCAAAUGUGUCUGCGUCACACUUAAACAUUUCGGAUCACAACCGAACUUUGCACACAAGUUCCAAUUAACCAAAGGAACCUACAUAAAAUCUUAACACCACAAUAGGAGUCUAAUAAUACUAAGUCAACUUCUGGUCAAACCUAUGAACUCUCCAAUUAUUCAAAUUGCCAACUUUCAACAAAUAGCGCCAAAACUUUCUAAGAAUGUUCAAAUCCAAAUCCGAACAUACAUCAAGUACAAAAUCGCCAUACAAACCUAUUGAAACUAUCAAAUCUUGAUUCCGAGGUUGUUCACUUCCGUGGUAGAAUGACCCGGUAUGAACCUGAACCGGUUGUCAGAUAUAGACACCGUCCUACUCACCCUCGCUUCUACCAUCCUCUCCAAAAGAUUUAUGGUAUGACUUAGUAAUUUGAUACCCCUAUAGUUGUUGCAACUCUGGAUAUCACAUUUGUUCUUGUACAACAGAACCACCAUACUCCACCUCCACUUAUCCGGCAAAAGUCAAACCUUGGUAAACUCUUCCAACAUAAAGCUUUCAAAUUGAGAAUCACUCUAUCAAAUCCAUCCCGACCACUCGAAAAUAAAUACCAACUAUACAUGUAAGUCAUAAUUCACAUAUAAAAUCACUCAAAGUCUCUAAUCAUAAAACAAAAUACUAGAAUUCAAAACAAUAGACCAGGCCGUUACAUUAGUUUUGCAAACUCUUUAUAUAAAGAUUUAUUGGUAGCACCAAAAAUAAGUCAUCAAUAUAUAUUUGGGCAAUUAGUAGAUAUUUGAAUUUUGGAAACUGAAGUGUGAAAAUUAAGUAACACAAUAAUUUUACGUAGAAAACCUCCUUGGCCAAGGAAGUAAAACCCAUGACCUAUCCUUAUAGGAUUUGCCUCAAAACUUCACUAACUUCAGAGAGAGAUUUUAGGUUAUAACUCAGUAACCAAACGGACUAACUCUAGUACCUUAACCCCUACAAUCAACUCAUUUUAGCUACCAUUUUCCAAAUUGUAAACUUCAGUCUGUAAAGCUAAACAAACUAUUUUGAAUUAAUCACUUAUAAUUACACUGCUCAAUAAGCAGAAUACUCAAGCCUAAACAACUAAAGAACUUCAGCAACUUUAUCUUCAGGAUCUGGUUCUUCAGUUGAGCAACUUGAAUCUUUUAAAGCUCAUUUUUCCUAUAAUUGCUAUUUGCCAAGAAUAAUCUCAAUGUUUGUGCGAAAUAGCGAUCAUUACUAGAAAUCCAGUAAAUACCGACAAAAAACCGACCAAUUUUGGUCGGUUAUGGCCAAUUAUCAACAAAAAUGCGACCAAAUAUGCUUGGACGAUAUUUUGAUGGUCGUUUUAAUAUACCGACCAAAGUUGGUCGGAAAUUACCGACAAAUGUUGGUCGGUCAAUUAAAUUCAAAAAACAAUAUUGCAAAAAAAAAAAACGACCAAAGUUGUUCGGUAUUUUCCGAUCAAAGUUGGUCGGUAUUUUAAUUAUGUAAUCAAAAGAUUCACCAUCUGAAAAUCGAAUAGGGGUGUAUACUGUGACAUGAUACUAUUCUACCACUAGACCAUUUGUGCAUUUUAUUUUUAGAUUGUCUUAUUUAUUGUUUAUACUCUUUAAUUGUAUUUUCACACGAAAAUAACCGACCAAAUUUGGCCGGUUUUAUUAAAAAUAAAAUUAUUGACCAAAGUUGGUCGGUUUUUUAAUAUUAAUUUUUAUCUAUUUUAAUUGCAAAAGCCGACCAAAGUUGGUCGAUUUCUUGAAAAAUAAAUUUCGCGGGACUCAAAAAUAAUUUUUCGCAUUUUUGCGCUAAAGAAAACCGAUCAAAAUUGGUCGGUUUUAUAAAAAAAAAAAAUUAAAAUAUUUUGAAAAAUUGACCAACUUUGAUCGGUUUUUGCCGAAUUUCUAAUAGUGGGUAAUCUUUAAUAAUUGUAAUGGGGCGCUUUACGUAGGAGUGAUAUUGGUCAAAUACUUUUUAAAUUUUAGUUCUAAGACCUAAAUUAAUUCGGUUACCUCUUAAGAAAAAUAAAUUAUCAAAGAAUCCUUAAAAGACUCCUUCAUAUACUUUUCCUUUUUAUGCAAGUAUAUAUUGCCAUGAUUAAUGAAUUCUAAUUGACCAUAAAUUCCUCCAAUUAUUUUCAUACUCUAGUCCACAAAAUAAGUCCUUCAAGAAAUUUUGCUUGCAUUAGGAAUUAGCGCCCGGCUUGUGAUCAGCGUCUUCAUGUAAUCUUGUUCUUUCAACAUCUUACCCGAUUAUUUUGACAUUUGCAUGACACAUCUUCAAUCAUAUAUAUCAUCACAAUAAAUAUCUUCAAAAGACCUGGUUCUUUGAUAAUUUUUUGUUAAUCAUCAAUACCAACUUUAACUUCAGAUCAACAACAGAGUUCAAGAAAAGUGAGGGGAACUUUUAAAUCUUAUGGUCUUAAAUUGAAGAUGUGGGUAAUAUACCUUUGAAUAUUGUGAUCUUAAUUAAACCAUGUGGAAUCUUGGAGUUAAGGAGUUACUACCAAACAUAAAAAGAUACUCCCUCUGUUUCAAUUUAUGUGAACUCAUUUGACUGGGCACGAAAUUUAAGAAAAGAGAGAAGACUUUUGAACUUGUGGUGUAAAAUAAAGCACAUAUAUAUUCUGUGAUUAUAAAUCAUUAAAUAAAGGUAAAUUAUUUUCAAAUAGGAAAAAAAGUCAUUCUUUUUGGCACGGAUUAAAAUUCACAUAAAUUAAAAUCGAGGGAGUACAUUCUUUUUAAACAUGCUAAAAAGAAAAGUAUGACACAUAAAUUAGAAGCCUAGGGAAUACGUGAUUGCCCCGUAGAUCCCAUCUUCAUUAAAGUAUUGUAAAUACUUCGCUGAUUAUAUAUGUGGAAUCCACUUUAAAGGUAUACUCCAUUCUAAAAUCUCAAUAAUCAGAUUCAUUAAAAACCUUUGUUGUAAGACUAAAUUCACUAGAUAAGGCUAGUACAUAAUCACCGAAAAUUCAUUCGCUACUAGGAUCAUUCCUGAAUAUUUUUAACCACUAAGCAGCAAGAUAUGAGUUUGCUAGGAAAGUGGUAGUAGUAUUCGUUGUAUAUAGGAUGCGAACUGAACUAUCUUUGCCGGAAAUAUAUAUAUAUAGUCUUGAGUAGUAUUCUUAGGACCCGUCUGGCCAUAGAUUUUGCCAAAAUAAAUAUGGGUUUUAUUUGGGAAACACAUGUUUGACCAAAGAUAUUGCCUACAUUUUGGCCAAAUCCCAAAAUCAGCUCAAUAGUGCAGGGCUCAUGCCCAUGUUGUCCAGCCAAAGGCCAAGCGGCCUAAUCCUAUUCUCUUUUAGUUUCCAUUCCUAUUCGGAAUUGAAUUCAGUGUUUAUUCCUAUUUUGAGUGAGUUUUGGCUUUAAAAGAAAGCACCACUCAUGAUCUAUAAAUAGGACAACCUUGGAGAAUUAUUCUAUGCUCAUUGGCGUAGAAGUCUUUGAAAGACUUAAGCACAUAAGAGUGGUUUUUGAGAGAGUUUUCAUCAAGAGAGAAGAGAGAAGAAAAGUAUUUGUGGUGAUGCAGAUUUUUAUUCCGAUCAGCCAACUUCAAAUUGUAUUUUCGAUUCGUUAACCGUUGGAUCGGGCUGAAAUUUUGAUUGAGUAUUCGUAAUAUCUUGAUCUUUGAUUUGAACAGUAAAGAUCGGAUUUAGAGGCUCGUAGCAUCUGAUUUUGAGCCUCGAACAACAGCUUCAUUUUUGUGGAUUCUCCUCUUUCUUCAAUUGAUUUGUUGUUGCUAUUGUUGCUCCAUAUUUGGCACUUGUCAUAUAGCCAAUUUGAAAAACUUUUAUAACCUUCUUAUUGUUAUAGUGGAGCUUUUUGGAUCUUUGUGAUCCCGUGGUUUUUACCUUUGAUUUGAAAGGUUUUCCACAUUAAAAUUUGGUGUUCUUUAUCUCCUUUAUUUUCGAGUUUGCCCCUUCCUCGACAUAACAGUGGUAUCAGAGCCUUGGUUAUUUAUCCGAGUUGUUACGGAAUGGAAGUGAAUAUGAGCAAGAUGGUAUGUUUAAAUGGGAAAAACUAUAAUGUUUGGAGAAGCAAGAUGAAAGAUUUGUUGUUCGUGNNNNNNNNNNAUUUUUGCAGCUCAUAAACCCGAGAGUGUAUCUAAUGAAGAUUUAGAUUUCGAGCACCAACAAGUAUGUGGGUACAUACGCCAAUGGGUUGAAGAUAAUGUUCGCAACCAUAUUGUUAACGAGACACAUGCGAGAUCAUUGUGGGAAAAGUUAGAGGCUCGUUAUGCUUCAAAAACAGGAUUUUGAUCACAUAAAUGAUUUUUAGGGCAUCCUUGAUCACAUAAAUGAUUUUCAGUGCGUCCUUGUUCAGCUGUCUAGAAUGAGAGUUAAUUUUGAUGAUGAGAUACAAGGACUUUGGCUUCUUAAUACUCUCCCAGACUCUUGGGAAUCUCUUCGUAUUUCUUUGACAAAUUCAGCUCCUGAAGGCAUGGAAUAUGCCAAGAGUGGUGUGUUGAACGAGGAAGUAAGGAGAAAAUCUCAUGGUUCGUCCUCACAAGCAGAUAUCUUGGUUACAGAAGACCGGGGAGAGAUAGAAUAAAAGGUUUAAAGAAUAGAGGUAAAAGUAGAAGUAAGUCAAGGUCCAAAUACUAUAAUAUUAUAUGCAACCACUAUGGCAAAAAAGGACACAUCAAAAGGUUUUGCCGCAAGUUUAAUCAAGACACUAGAGAAGGAAAGAAAGCUGAAAAUAACGAGAACAAUGUUGUUGCUAUUGUUCGAGGUGACCUUCUUUUUGCUUAUGAUGAAAACGUCAUCAAUUUGGUAUCCCAUGAGACUAGCUGGAUAGUAGAUUCUAGAGAUACCUCACAUGUCACACCAAGAAAAGAUUUAUUUCUCAUCUUAUACUCAUGUUGAUUGUGGAGUGUUAAAGAUGAGCAAUUCUAGUGAAGUUAAGGUGUUUGAUGUUGGCACAGUUUGUUUGAAAACUAAUAAUGGUUCAACGUUAGUUCUUUAAGAUGUCAAGCAUGCUCCAGACUUUCCUUUCAAUUUGAUCUCCGCAAGAAGAUUAGGCGAUGAAGGUUACCAUAAUGCCCUCUUUAAUGGCCAAUGAAAGAUCACUAAGGGCUCAUUAGUAGUGGCUCGCGGAGUUAAGUCUGGUUAUUUAUAUGUGACAUAGGGCUCUAUUCUUAAUGACUCAAUAAAUUUAGUGAAAAAUGAUACUUUAUCAGAAUUGUGGUACAGAAGAUUGAGUCAUGUGAGCAAUAAGGGGAUUACAUGUUUGGCUAAGAAAAGUUUGCUUUCUAGAUUGAAACAAGCAAAGCUGAAAAGGUUUAUCCAUUGUUUAGCUGGCAAACAGAAAAGGGUUUCCUUUCAUAACCAUCCUCCCUAAAAAAAACCUGAUUUAUUGGAUCUAGUACACUCUGAUUUGUGUGGUCCUUUUAAAGUAAAGUCAAAAGGUGGUGCACUUUACUUUGUGACAUUUAUUGAUGAUAAUUCUCGUAAGCUCUAGGUGUAUCCUUUGAAAUUUAAAUGUAUUCGCACUGACAAUGGUGGUGAAUAUUAUGGUCCCUUUGAUAACUAUUGCAAGGAACAAGGAAUUCGUCAUCUGAAAACUCCGCCCAAGAUGCCUCAAUUGAAUGGUUUGGCAGAGAGGAUGAAUAAAACUCUAGUUGAGAGAGUUAGAUGAUUACUUUCAGAAGCUAAACUUUCAAAUACAUUUUGGGCGGAAGCACUUAACAUUGUUGCCUAUGUUAACAAUUUGUCUCAUGUUGUUGCUUUGGAUGGUGAUGUCCCAGACAGAGUUUGGUUUGCCAAAGAUGUUUUUUAUGAUUACCUGAGAGUUUUUGAGUGUAAAGCUUGUGUGAAUGUUCUUAAAGAUGAGAGAUCGAAGCUGAAUGUCAAAAUUAAGCAGUGCAUCUUUAUCGGUUAUAGUCAAUAUGAGUUUAGGUAUAGUUUUUAUGAUCCAGUUGACAAUAAACUUAAUAAAAGUCGUGAUGCAAUAUUCUUUGAAGACCAAACUAUUGAAGAUAUUGACAAAGCUGAGAAGAUAGAUUCUCAGAGUAAUGAGAGCUUAGUUGAUAUUGAUCCAGUUUCAAUUGCUAAGGCACCUAUUACACAUGAAGGUACCAAAGAAAAUGAUGGAGAUAGUGAUCAAGAUCAAAAUAAUCAUCAUGAUGUAGAUGUUAUGAAUGCUCCAGUUGAUGAAGUUGUGGUUGAUCAGCAACCAAUUCCUGCAUAGAUAACUACUUUGAAUGCUCCUGAAACCUCUCUUAGAAGAUCUACAAGGGAGAAGAAAAAAUACAUGCGCUAUCCUCCUGAUGAGUAUGUACUUUGACUGACAUGGGAGAAACUGAGAAUUAAGAUGAAGCCAUGAAAGAUACUCACAAAGAUCAGUGGAUCGAAGCCAUGGAAGAUGAGAUGAAGUCACUCCAUGAGAAUGGCACAUAUGAGUUAGUGAAAUUGCCAAAAAGUAAGAGAGCUUUAUCUAACAAAUGGAUAUUCAGAAUAAAACAAGAUAAUCAUACCUCUGCGCCUAGAUACAAGGCGAGGUUAGUUGUUAAAGGUUUGUCCAGAAGAAGGGAGUUGACUUUGAUGAAAUUUUCUCCCAUGUUGUGAAGAUUUCUUCUAUUCGUGUGGUUCUAGGCUUAACCGCAAGUCUAGAUUUAGAGGUUGAGCAGAUGGAUGUCAAGACUGCUUUUCUUAAUGGUGAUUUAGAUGAGGAGAUUUAUAUGGAGCAAUCUGAGGGUUUUGUAACUAAGGGAAAAGAACAUUAUGUCUGCAAAUUAAAAAGGAGCCUAUAUGGAUUGAAACAAGCUCCAAAGCAAUAGUAUUUGAAGUUUGAAUCUGUCAUACAAGAACAAGGGUACAAGAAAACUUCUUCAGACCACUGUGUAUUCUUCCAGAAGCUUUCAAAUGAUGGCUUUAUUGCUUUAUGUAGAUGACAUGCUUAUUGUUGGCAAGAAUAAAUCUAGAAUUGCAGUCCUUAAGAAGCAGUUGAGCAAAUCGUUUGCAAUGAAGGACUUGGGGCCAGUAAAGAAAAUAUCGGGCAUUCAAAUCCACCGACACAGAGAUAGAAAGAAGUUAUUUUUGUACCAAAAGCAAUACAUUGAGAAGGCACUCAAGAGGUUCAAUAUGACAGAUGCAAAAGUGGUUAGUACUCCUCUUGCUAAAUACUUCAAAUUGAGUAUUAGUCAGAGUCCAUCUAUUGAUGAAGAGAAAAAGGAGAUGUCUCGUAUUCCUUACUCUUCUGCCAUUGGUAGCUUGACGUAUGCUAUGGUUUUGCACUAGACCAGAUUUUGCACAUGUCGUUGGUACUAUUAGUAGAUUCCUUUCUAAUCCUGGAAAAGAACAUUGGGAUGCAGUAAAAUGGAUAUUAAGGUAUUUGAAAGGUACUGCAGAUUUGAAGGUGUGCUUUGGCAAUGAUAAGUCUGAACUUGUUUGUUAUACAGACUCUGAUUUAGGAGUCAAUCUUGAUAAUUCAAGAUCUACUUCCGAUUAUUUGAUCACUUUUGUAGAGGGAGUCGUUUCUUAGCAAUCUAGACUACAGAAGUGCAUAGCUCUAUCCACCACAGAAGCCAAAUAUAUUGUUGUCACAGAAGGUGCCAAGGAACUAUUAUGGAUGAAGAAGUUUAUUAAUGAUCUUGGCUUUGAGCAGCCAAGGUACAUCUUAUUUUGUGAUAAUUAGAGUGCUAUCUAUAUCACCAAGCACUCCACUUUACAUUCUAAGACCAAACAUAUAAAUAGAAAGUACCAUUGGAUAAGAAUGACCAUAGAAGAGAAAUUAUUUGAGGUUGAAAAGAUACACACUAAUGAAAAUCCUUCAGAUUAGCUGACAAAGGUGGUGGUUGCAGAUAAACAUGAAUUUUGCAGAAAAUUGGCAGGCAUGAAGCCUGUCAAUAGUUCCUCAACUUGAAGACACAUUUUGCCCCUUGGCUGGAGGGGAAGUUUGUUGGGCUCAUGCCCAUGUUGUCCAGCCAAAGACCCAAUGGCCUAAUCCCAUUCUUUUUUGAUUUCCAUUCCUAUUCGGAAUUGGAUUCGGUGUUUAUUCCUAUUUUGAGUGGGUUUUGGCUUUAAGAGAAAACACCACUCAUGAUCUAUAAAUAGGACAACCUUGGAGAAUUAUUCUAUGCUCAUUGGUAUAAGUCUUUGAAAGACUUAAGUACAUAAGAGUGGUUUUUGAGAGAGCUUUCAUCAAGAGAGAAUAGAGAAGAAAAGUAUUUGUGUUGCUGCAGAUUUUUAUUCCGAUCAGUCAACUUCAAAUUGCAUUUUCCGAUUCAUUAACCGUUGGGUCGGGCUGAAAUUUUGACUGAGUGUUCGUAGCAUCUUGUUCUUUGAUUUGAAUGGUGCAGAUCAGAUUUGGAGGCUUGUAGCAUUUGAUUUUGAGCCACGAAUAGUAGCUUCGUUUUUGUGGAUUCUCCUCUUUCUUCAAUUGAUUUGUUUUUGUUCUUGUUGCUAUUGUUGCUCCGUGUUUGACACUUGUUGUGUAGCCAAUUUAGAGAACUUUUGUAAUCCUCUUAUUGUUAUAGUUGAGCUUUUUGGAUCUUUGUGACCCUGUGGUUUUUACCUUCGAUUUGAAAGGUUUUUCACGUUAAAAUUUGGUGUUCUUUAUCUCCUUUAUUUUCGAGUUUGCCUCUUCCUCGACAUAACAAAUAGCUGGUUUUGGGCCAAAAUAUCACUAUUAUAUAUUUUUAAAAAUUGCUCCAAACUUUUAUAUUUUAUAAAAGAGCCCAUCAUUAUUAUUUUAUAACAAUGUUGCGAUAAUAUAAUGAAUUUUAUUGAUAAUGGUGUUGUUGGGUAUUUGUGAUAGUUUUUAGAACUUAUAGUUAUAAGUCAUGUUUCAUAAUAAAUUUGGGAAAUGUGUUUUAAAAACUGACACUCCAACAUAUUUUCAUCUUUAAACCAAAUUUCACCCAAAUUAAAUUUUUCAAAACAAAUUUGGAAAUGCAUGACCAAAAGCUAGCUUAAUAUCUUUAAAGAAAUUUCUUUCGCCGGUAUUAUAAGAGUGACUCGGUCCUUCUCCCCCACAAAAGUGUACCCACCAAGAGAAAAGGGACUGUAACAAAUUAGUUUUAAAAAGCCAUUAACUGCAGCUGCGUGUGCCUGACUACACCCACCGCACACUUUUGAGGGGGGGGGGGGGAGGACACUGUUCCAGCUGUCUACCUCGUUGACAAGCUCUUUAUAGAGUAGUGGGGAGAAGGAUUCUUAACCAAAUUCCAGAGGCUUUCCUCUCUGAAGUUUGGUGGACUUGUGGUCCUUACUCUCCUCUUAUGUCUUUAUUAUGCACUUUAUUCAUCUUUUGUACCUAGAUCUUGUAUCUACUUGCAUAAAUUAAUUAUGUCCCCACUCGAUUUGUUUUUUCCUUUUUCUCUUGUGGACCUAUUUAAUAAUUGUCUAGUUCUAUGGUGAAAUUCGACGGUAAGUUUACGUAAAACUUCCUAGCUGGAAUACAUGCACCACAAGUCCACAAUAUAUUGUUAUUAAAUUGUGCCCACCUGUAAAGAGUGACAACUGUAAAUUCUAGACUUAGGUGUUUUCCGCUCGAGCUAAUCAAACCAUGAAAAAUCAAUCGAUUGGAUUAAAUGCGCUUUAACAAUGUUCUAAUAAAUACUACUACUUCCUGUAUCAAAUGUUAAAUCUUUUUGGAACAUUGAUUUUGUUCCAAAAUAUUUUGAAAAUUAAGAAGCAUUUAUUUUCUAAUUUAACUUUACUCUCACUUCUCUAAUUAGUAAAAUGUUAAUUAAUGAGACAUUUAAGGAGGCAUAAUAUUCCUAUGAUUACAAUUAUUAAUACUCCUUCCGGUCCACUUUAAUUAAUUUUUUGGCUUUUUUCUUGUGGUUUAUAAUAUUUGAUAUUUUUAAGAUAUCAAGAAAGAAUAAACUUCUUUUUUUCGCCCUUGGAGUAAAGAGUCUAGGAGUAUUUGUUAUAUUUUCAACAAAUAAAAUAAGGUUAAUAUGAUCAAUUUUAAUGUUAAUUAAUACUCAAAGGUAAAUUCUUUAAUAUGUGUGAAAACAUUCAAAAAAAUUAACUAAAAUGGACCGAAGAAAAUAUCUUUCUAAGAAUUGUGUGAAAAUCUGAAGGGACAAACAAUAUAAAUAUAAAGGAGUAUAUAGGGUUCAAAACUUCAUUUAUUUCUUGCUUUUCACUAAGUUGUUAUUUGGUAGUUUUCUGCUAAGUGAUGAGAUCACUGUCAAGUGCCAACCACGUUCAGAAUUUGCUAUCAUCCUUUAUUCUGCUCUUUAAUGCCAAUCCUCCUAAUUUAAUAGAGAAAAAGAGCGGACUUAGCUUAUGCAAAAAAAAUAUAUAUAUCAUUCUUAAUCAACCAGUCAAGUGAAAGAAGCCCGUUAGCUUUAUCCUUUUCUAAAAGUAUGUAUAUAUGUAAUUCAACUUUUUACUCGAUUUGCUAAAGAAAAUAUUUUGGUUGCUUUUGGUGGAUUACUUACUACUAAGUUAAAUAGGUUAUAGGCAAACCAAAAUAAAAUCUAAAAUUAUCCUCAAAAUGGAGGACCUAGAUUUAUUGGAUGACCAAUCUACUUGCAAGAAAACUUGUUGGGACUCUUUUCUACUAACUAAUUAUCGCCCAAGUAUUGCUUACACUUGCAAUAUAGGAGGUAGUGAUAGUUGAUUCUUAUAUAUGAAGGUAUGUGUAACGACUCGAUCGGUCGUUUUGAGCUUUAGCGCGUUGUUCAGCAGUCUGAGGCCAUGAGCAGCUUCAUUUCAGGUAUUNNNNNNNNNNNNNNNNNNNNAAGAAAUUUCAUAAGUUUUGCUUGAAGUGCAUUUCAGUGUUAUCGAUGCCCGUUUGGGAUUCCGAGCCUGGGAGUAGCUCCGCCUGGUAAUUCUGGAGUUGGGAGCACGAUCGGAAGUGAAUUCGGAGGUUCGUAGGCCAUUUUGGGGUCAUUUGGCUAAAGAUAGAAAAUUGAAGGUUUUUGAGAAGUUUGACCGGAAGUGGACUUUUUGAUAUCGGGGUCGGAAACCAAUUCCGGAAGUUGGAGUAGGUCCGUAAUGUCAAAUGUGACUUGUGUGCAAAAUUGGGGUCAAUCGGACGUGAUUUGAUAGGUUUAAACAUCGAAAGUAGAAGUUUGAAAUUCUAAAGUUCAUAAAGCUUGGAUUGGAGGUUGAUUCGUGAUUUUAGCGUUGUUUGAUGUGAUUGGAGGCCUCAAGAAAGUCGGUAAUGUGUUUUGGGACUGGUUGGUAUGAUUGGUUGGGGCCUCGGGGGCCUCGGGUGGAUUUCGGAUGGUUAACGGAUCAAAUUCGAAAUUUUGGAAGGGCUGAAGUUGCUAGUAGCUGGUGUAACCGCACCUGCGAGGUUUUGGCCGCAGGUGCGGAGCCGCAGAAGCAGCCAAAUAGUCGCAGAUGCGAAUUUGGCAAAAGGGAGCUUGGACCGCAGAAGCAGAACCGCAUCUGCAGGACUAGAAGCGCAGAAGCGGAAAAGGGGAGCCUAGGGAAAACUGCAGAAGUGAUGGAUUAGCUCGCACCUGUGGAACUGCAGAACCGGUACGGUGACCGCAGGUGCGGAAAGUGCUAGAGGCAGAGAGAUGUUUUAAAAUUCGGGAUUUGGCCAUUUUCUCUCAUAUGUUCUUGGCUUGGGUGACUUUUGGGAGCGCUUCAAGAGGGAUUUUCAUCAUCAACGAUAAGGUAAGCUAAUCUCAUCCAUCUUGAGUUAAAUACAUCGAUUAUGUAUGGAUUUUAGCAUGUAAUUAGUAGAAAUUUGGGGGUUUUGGUAGAAAGACCUAGAAUUUAUAUUCUUGGAAUUUAACCAUGAUUUUGGGUAUGCAAUUAAGAGAAAGUCAUAUAUUUGAGUUCAUGAGUUCAUGGGUAAACUUUAUCUUCAAAAAAAAUCGGAAUCCGGGCACGUGGGCCCGAGGGAAAUUUUGUCAACUUUUUGAUCGGGGUAAGGAAUUGUUACGUAUGGAAUUGUAGUAAGUAAUUGAGUAUAUAUUAAUGGAUUGGUAUUAUUAUUGGCUAGUGUUGGAACUUUGUGCAUCGAUUGGAGUCUUCGGAAGAGCGUGGAAUGCCGGUUAUGGAUCUUCGGAGCGAAGUGAGUCUCCUUUCUAACCUUGUAAGAGGGAAUUGUCCCCAUAGGUGAGUUAAUUGGUAAUGUGCUCCUAUUUGGGGGGCUACGUACGCACGAGGUGAUGAGAGUCCGUGCGUAGCUACUAUUAUGCUAUUGUCCAGGUAGUCUAGGACCCAAAAGCAUGAUAUGCUUGGAUUUAUUGUAAACUUAUUGACAGCUUAAAUUGCUUAAAUCACAUCGAAUUAGUAAACGAAUUUCUAAAAGGAUUAAACUUCAUUUUCUUAAAUUGUUAAAAGAGAAUUGGCUUUAAUUUGGAUAAAUGUUCCCCGAUAAAUUCUUAAUUGGCUAUUUAAGCAUGUAUUUCUAUGUGUACCUGCGUCGCAUGUAGGAUUCGCGAGCAGGGUAUUUGUUUAUUUAUGUUGACCGCAUCGCAGGUAGUAUGCGCGAGCGGGGUAAUAGAUGCAUCUAUAGUUCGCGCCGUUCGACCCUCGGCAGUGCACAUUUUAUAUUUCUGUUGGAUCGGGCCGUACGACCUCGGCAGGAUUUGCGCAUGCUUGUAGUGCUUGCCUUGAGACUUAUUGAUAUUGAUAUUUGCUCUCCCCGACUUGAGAUAUUUGAAAACUAAUGGAUUUUGAAUCCGGAAACUUUUAAUAUAAAAAGGAACUUUCACCUAUUCGUUACUUACUUGAAGUUUCUGUCAUUCUUAAUAAAUUCAUGAUUAUUCGCAUUAAUAAUAUAUCAUUAUUUGGACCAUUAGUAAGUGUCGAAGUCGACCAUCUCGUCUCUACUUCUUUGAGAUUAGACGAGAUACUCAUUGGAUACACGUUGUUUUCGUACUCAUACUACACUUCUGUGCAUUUUUGUUGCACAAGCAUAUACGUCUCUAGUUGCCUACUGGGCAUGAAGCAUGGUUGACAUGGAGACUUAGGUGAGCUGCACUUCUCGAGGCGACCCGCAGCCAACAGAGUCUCUUUCUAUUUUCUGUAUUUAUUUUCUGUCCAAUAUUGUAUUCCGGACGGUUGUGGUAUUACAUUAUUUCCUAGAAAUUGCUCAUGCACUUGUGACACCGGGUUCUGGGAAAUUUUUUGGAUUAUUCAAUAUUUAGUUUGUUAAAGACUUCAUGGUUAUUUCUGUAAAUUUCAUUAUUCGUUAUUUAAUGUAUAAAGAAAAGAUUUUAAAGAAAUACUAAAAUUGGAAUUUAAUUAAGUAUUUUGGUUGGCUUGCCUGACAAUGGUGUUCGGUACCAUCACGACUCUUAGUGGAUUUUGGAUCGUGACAGUAUGAAGGUAGCCAGGGACGAAGAUAUGUUGGCCCAAGGAUGAUCACGCCGAAAAAUUAUACUACGUAUAAGGUAAAAUAUUAUUUGUUAUUGAUUAUAAAUAGACUUGGAACACCCUUCAAAACCCACUAGCAAUAGGUGUUCAAAAUUUGAACACUCUUUUUGAAUUUUUUGGCUUCGCCAAUGAAGGUAGUGAACUGUGCACGGUGAAAUCUGGGAGGCCGAUUUCUCCUCGACUAAAUACCUCGAAGGGUGAUCCUGGAAGCCCGGGAUCUCGAGCCUGUCACGCCCCUCAAGUUCGGCUGGUAUCCUGCCAAGGAUAAUGUCGACUAAAGCCCCGAUGAAUGCAGGGAUCUCCCGAGGAAUACACACGGGGUCGAUCAUGUCUAUUCAAGCGGCUCGACAUCAGCCCACACGUACAUCGCAAAGUUAGCCAGUUUGUUCCAUCCUAUUUCUUUUAUCACGCAACGUAUCUUGUACGAAGUUGGGGCUUCCCCCUUUCUACAAAAGGGGAGUCGCUAACACCCUGUAAAGGCAGAGCUCCAACCAUUCUACUCAAGUGCAAUAAUAUCUUCUCUCUUUUUCUCCUCUCUAACUUGCUUGCCCUCACUAGCUCGAAGCCAUUUAGCUUUAUUGCCUUCUUAUCUGUUCUUUGUUUAUCACUUGGUAUUAGCUCGAAGUCACCGUAAUAUCUAUCGUUCUCGUACUUGUUCUUCGUUAUAUAACCUAGUAGUGGCCAUAAAGAACCUUGUUUAAUUAUAUCCUCAACUGUUAUCUCAUCCCCGACUAUCCCCGAUACCUCGGACUCGACCUUGUCACCGACCCCGAGGUCCCUCAUCACUCAGACCUACAUCCGGGUAGCAGGCCCUUCGGUUCGAUUACUAUCUCGUUCUAGCUUAUAUUUCAUCAUUAAACUUUGUAUUAUUAUCAUCAACUGCUCUAACAACUUGCUCGGGAAUAGAUCACGUAUUUUUAGAAUUCCGUCUAUAAAUUUAAUUGUUGUUACCAUUUUCACGGUAAACUAUUUGGUGCCCACUGUAGGGCUAAAAAUAAUAGUGAUUAUUUUCUUGCUAGUUUCAUUGCACAAAUGCACGUUAUCUUUCACACUUUUUCUUGCCCAAGAUCCUUUGAUUUCAGGUCAAAAUGUCUGAAUCGGUAAACGGAGUCGAGAACGACAACCUCGAAAAUCACGGGGAAAAUGGCGUGGAUGUCCCGGUCACCGGAGCACCACUACAAAAUCUUGAUAACUUUCCUGGACCGAUUCUAGUGGAGGCGGACACACAGGACGCACAGCAAGUCGUCGAAACUUCUCAUACCGACAAGAGCGUACAACACAACGACCGACAGGAAGCUCAAAAAACCCCGGCCUAAGAAGAACAGGAAGUCAGUCUUCAUGUUAUUUUUAAAAUGUUGCAGGCACAACAGUUGGCCAUUGCUCAGUUGAAAAGCCAUCCGAGAACUCCCAGCAUAGCGGCACCAGAGACAGCUUCCCCCGCCGAGCAAGUUCCCGAAAGAUCAAGCAAUAACGGGUCAGUGGUUGACCCCGCCAUAUUAAAUAUGCUUGAGGACCUCACCAAAAGGAUCGAGUCAGGUGAGAAGAUGAUUGCAGCCAACAAUAAAAAGGUCGAGACCUACAAUUGAAGGGUGGAUCAGAUCCCGGGAGCACCCCCGGUCCUAAAAGGUUUGGAUUCGAAGAAGUUCAUACAGAGGUCGUUCCCCGAGGAAGCAUCCCCAAAGCCCAUUCCUAAAAAAUUCAAAAUGCCAGAACUCCAUAAGUAAAACGGUACCACCUACCCCAACGAACACGUUACUACCUAUACCUACGUAGUAAAAGGUAACGAUAUAAAGAAUGACGAGAUCGAGUCUGUAUUGCUGAAAAAAUUCGGAGAAACACUUUCGAAGGGAGCCAUGAUGUGGUAUCACAACUUGGCUCCCAACUCCAUAGAUUCAUUCACCAUGUUAGCGCACUCCUUCGUAAAGGCAUAUGCUGGAGCCAUCAAGGUAGCAACAAGGAAGUCUAACAUUUUCAAAAUUAAACAGAGAGAGAACGAGAUGCUGCGGGAAUUCGUGUCCCGCUUCCAGAUGGAACGGAUGGAGUUACCGCCAGUCUCCGAUGACUGGGCAGUACAGGCCUUCACCCAAGGCCUGAACGAACAAAGCUCGGUGACCUCAAAACAGCUGAAGCAGAACCUAAUCGAAUAUCCGGCCGUGACCUGGUCAGACGUCCACAACCGAUACCAGUCAAAGAUCAGGGAUGAGGACGACCAACUAGGAGCCCCUUCAGGCUCAGUGUACCCAAACAGACUCCUGGUAAAAGAAUCGAAACCAAACAAAUAAAGGUACCAGCCGUACCUCGAAGAUAGAAGAAAUGCCCCAAAGUGCAACCUACCUCGCAACGAUCGGAGGAUAGAUCGAGGACAUGACCCUCGAGGGUUCAUCAAGAGAACCAGGUCCGAUCGAAACAUAGCGCCGGCAAACGUGCCCCACUUUUCAGAAUACAACUUCUGCAUCGAUAUUUCAGACAUCGUGUUCCCUAUCAGCAAGAUCAGAGACGCCAAAUGGCCAAAACCAAUACAAUCAGACCUUUCGCAGAGAAAUUACAACUUAGUGUGCGAGUUCCACAACACGCAAGGUCACAGGACCGAGGAUUGCCAUCAACUACGAGAGGAAGUGGCUCGACUGCUCAACAAAGGGCACCUUCGGGAAUUUCUCAGUGAUCGGGCCAAAAAUCAAUUCCAAGAGAGGGAGGCAACCAAGAAAAACAAGGCAAACGAGCCACAACACGUUAUCCGCAUGAUCAUAGGGGCGCCGAUGCCCCGCAGGAACCCGUAAUAAGAAGAACAAAAAUAUCCAUCACCAGAGAAAAACGGACUCGGGGAUAUAUCCCCAAAGAUGCCCUCACAUUCAGCGAAGAGGACACCGAGGCCCUGUCUCAACCUCACAACGACGCCCUGGUAAUCUCCUUUCUUGUAAAUUUUUUUCAAAUAAAAUGUGUACUAGUGGAUCCAGGUAGCUCGGCCAAUAUCAUCAGGUCGAAGGUGAUAGAACAGCUCAGGCUACUCGAACAAAUCAUGCCAGCCACUCGGGUCCUCAAUGGAUUCAACAUGUCGAGCGAAACAAUGAAAGGAGAAAUCGUCCUUCCGGUUACUGUGGCCGGUACAACCCAAGACACAAAAUUCCAUGUCAUCAAAGGAGAUAUGAGGUACAAUGCCUUUUUUGGAUGGCCUUGGAUACACUACAUGAGAGCAGUACCAUCCACCCUCCACCAGGUGAUAAAAUUCCCGACAAAGGAGGGGAUUAAAACCGUCUACGGGGAACAACAUGCGGCAAGGGAAAUGUUCGCUAUACACGAUGAGGUACCAAUGCUCCUGCCUCCACCCCCGAAUACAACAACAAGCAAACCCGGUCUCGCCCCUAAUCGAACUUGACAAAACAAAAUAGAGAUCCACGCCGCAUCUCUGCCCCCGAGUAGUGACCAUAGACCAAUCCCAAGGCAUCACCGACAUAUCUCGUUUCAAGGUACGACCAUUCUUUUUUAUUAUUAUUUCAAAUUCGGAAUUAACCUUCGUGUAGGCACCCAACCAGAGCUGCCGGGACGAUAGUGCUAUUGCAAGACCUUGAGGCCCCAAAGGCGCACUCGUUGCACUCUUUUCCUUCGACCAAGUUUUUAUCCCAGAAGAAGGGUUUUUACUGGCAAGGUUUUUAACGAGACAACGUCUGCGAGCCACUUAAGGGGUAACUUCGCAAGAAAUAUUCAAGAUUAUCCCUGUGGCCGACCUUUUCCCCCGGAAAGCUGCCUGCUCGUAGGAGUUUUGAAAAACGCCAAAUGAGGUCUCCUGUAGGAAAAUGAUGUAUCGGAUCAAAUGACCGAUAUAAUCAGGCCCAGUCGGUAAAAACAUGUACUAUUGUACCGAGCAAUCAAAAAAUACCUUCUGUCAAAAAGAGGGGGGAAGUAACUCCUUCUCAGAGUAGGGUAACAAGUUCCUUCACCAGAAACGUCCCGAAAACUCGGGAACGGACGCCAAUGGUUCAAAACGCCCCGACGGCCUCUAGGUCGAGGCUCUGAAAUCACAAAAUAUUUUCAGGCAAGACAAACCUCCGAGCGACUUCGACCCGAUAUAGGUUGACUCAACACAACAAUAUAUAUUACAGAAAUGGAUCUAAGAAUGUCUUUCAGCAUCCCAUUCUCCAAGCGAGGAAAUCACAGUGUAUUCCCGGCAGGAACUUCUCCACCAAACACGUCCUGAUAUACUCGGAGACUUAGCAUCAGCAAUUCAGCACCCGCACAACCCCAGGGUCGGAACUCCAGGCUCAUAAAGCCUCUACAAGGCAACUUCAAAGCUCACGAAAAGCGGUCUUCACGCUUAAACAAAUUCGAUAACUCGGAGACUGCCAUUCAUCGCCAAUCGCCAUGCGUUGGAAAACCCAAAACUGUAAGACCGCUAGCGGGCAGACUCGGCGUAACCAGAUCUAUUAUACAUUGCAAAAACUAUAAGACCUCAACAGGCAUGACAAACUGUAAGACCUCAACAGGCAUGAAAAUCCCGAAGUCCCAAAAGGGCAUACCCUCGGUGUAGACGUCUAAACUAUCACUCGAAAUUAAAAAUGGCUCCGGCCAAACAUAUACGACUACGGUGAAAACAGCUGAUACAGCCAAAUUAACGCGACUUGGGAUGCCUGACCGUCACUAAACAAAAUCGCAGGCUACUGCUUCGAAUAUACUUCAGAAAGAACCGGUUAAAAUAGGCUUCCCUCAACAGGAAAAAACGAGCUAUGAACCUUCCGAGGUGCUCGAAACAUCGCCGAAACAAGAACUUGAAAUCGAGGUUCUUCUAGAAUCGAUGAUGGGUCAGGGAAAACUAUUUCAAAAGACCUUAAUGAGCGAAAAACAAAGCCUACAAAAAAGCCCACGGGCAAAAAUAACGUAAGAGCCAUUAUCGCCAGCUAAAAAAUUAACAACUUGAGGAUUAAAUUAAGCUCGAAUCGUAACCUGAUUCGGAGACCAGAUCAAAAAUAGUUAACUACGCAAGACUCCGGGCCAUAUAUUAAAAGGUCUCUACGACCAAAUAGCGUAAGAGCCAUUGUUGCCAGCUUGAAAAUUGACAACUUAAGGGUCAAUUAAAGCUCGAGUCGCUACGCGACUCAGAGACUGGACCCGAAAUAGUUAAAUUGUAACAUGCCUAAGGGCACAUCAUAAAUGCCACUGUCAACUAGCUGAGUGAGCCUCCGGACCACGCGCCUAUAAGGUCGCUUCGACCCGAAGCACAAAAGGCUAUCGCCGUCUGCCCAUGCAGGCAGGAAAGAAUCUAAGGGUCAAGUAAAGCUCAAAUCGCAACGCGACUCGGUGACUGGACCCGAAAUAGUUAAACUACAACAUGCCUAAGGGCACAACAUAAAUACAACUAUCAACCAGCCGAGUGAGCCUCCGGGCCACGCGCUUGUAAGGUUGCUUCGACCCGAAGUACAAAAGGCCAUCGUCGUCUGCCCAUGCAGGCAGGAAAGAACCUGAGGGUCAAUUAAAGCUCAAAUUGCAAUGCGACUCGCAGACUGGACCCAAAACAAGUAAACUACAAUAUGCCUAAGGGCACGGUAUAAAAGCGACCGCUGCCAGCUAAGUGAGCCUCUGAGCCACGCGCCUGUGAGGUCACUUCGACCUGGAACACAAAUGGUCAUCGUCGAUCGCCCAUGCAGGCAGGAAAGAUCUUAUGGGUCAAUUAAAGCUCUAGUCGCAACACGACUCGGAGACUGGACCCAGAAUGGCUGAAACAGCAAAAUACUUAAGGACGAGAAAGAAGAACAAUCACCAUUCGCCCGCACGGACAUAGGAGACCGAAGGACAGGCAAGCUCAAAUAAAGGCCUGACUCAGAGACUGAGCCUAAAAAAGCUGGGCAAAACAUAGAGGCCCCAACACCUGCUCAUGUCAAGGAUCGCGCUCGAAAGAUCCCGGGCCUGCUCGAUCAGUUCUGAACCCAUGGGGAUCCCGUCAAAACAAGGAAACUAGACCACCGGAUCAAAGGCGAUACAGGAAAGAUACAAAGGAGGAAAAAUUUUAAGAUUUCUCUCAUCUUAUAUAUGCGUGAAAGGUACGCUUUCCAUUUACAAGCAUGCUCUAUAAACAACAAAAUACAAAGUGGCGAAAUCUAUGCUCCACCCCUAAAGGGUUACGGCCUACUAGCCCAGCCUCGUUCUUCAUGGCAUCGGCAAUAAACAAACCAAGCAUCACGCCCGACUACCUUCGCUCAAGUGAAUCCUUCUAGAAGGACGGAACCCCUGGCAUGGGUCUCUUCAAGCGCCUGUCAUGAAGAUCUACGAUGAACUCAUCCCUCGAAGGCCCGAUCCGACCUGGCUCGAUCAUCGGCGACAAGUCACCACUCCUUCAUCAUCCUCGGUCCAGCUUAGUACUAUGCCAGUCCAAGAACCGGCUGUUCCCAAUCCAGACUUUGAGUAACAAAGCUACAUGUUAACAAAUUAUAUCCACUCAGAUCAAAGCUCGAAGCUCGAAGACUACAUAUAAUACUUCAGGUAUUCCUAGCUCGAUCGGCUCUGCCCCUAUGAUCGAAAAAGUGAAACGCCUAUCACAAGAAGACUCCUGCCUCACCAAAAGGCUUCUGUAAUGGAAGCUUCGAUAUACCCCAAAGUAUGGACCCUUGACGGAACAGCUCAAAGCCUAGGUCUAUAGGAGUCUUACGGAAGGAAAAUCCUAUAAGAAAGGAAAGACCCAGGAUACGGGGGAAUCAUGCUGAAACUUACCACGAAGUGACGGCAAACCUACUCAACGACCGAGCACCUUCCUGAUGGUCCAACCCUUGUUGGCCCAAAGGAACCGUUGUUCCGCAACCAAAGACUCCAGGAAUGCCAGGUUUGGAUGAUGCACUCUCCUCAAAAGCACGGGCAUGUCUUGCCCCGAUAAAAGCUCCUUCAUGAUUGUGAAACACACAUGUCAUCUAUCGCCGCGCCCGGCCUCUGCCGUGCCCCAAAUAAGCAGCCGCUAAGGGCACGACCCACCAGAAUCAUGAAAUCAUCGAACCCCGAAGACCCCCGGGAAGCGGAAGCAACCUCACGGCUACAUACAAAAAGGGCAGGAAUGAUUCAACACCAAUCAAAGGCACCGACCAUCGGCACCGCCUCCAGUUGUGAGGUAAUGCUCAACCCCGAAGACCUCCGCGUAGCAAGGCAACGCCCCAGCUAACCAACAAUGCCUUCACCAAAUCAGCAUGCGGCUUCAAAAAAGCCUCCACCAAAGAAGGCUAGUUUACGAACAAAUGAGCGUCCCUAACAAACGCUCGUGCAAAAUAGAUUCCGGGCAAUGACCAGGGCGGCCCGGAGCACGGCCAGGCCUCCAUUUAGAUAUUUCCUCCAGGAAGUCACCGGCGUCCCGAGACCGCGAGUCCUCAGGCAAGCCUUUUCUCAAAGGCCAUUAUAAAGCCCGAAGAUAUUAUCCAAGCUUUCACGCAGAGAAAGGAUCCCAGCGGCCCGAGGUUAUUGGCCUAAUUCGGGUCCGGUUCGAGAUGUCACGAAAGGCCUCACACAAAGCUAUUUCAUCAACCAAAGGCUGGGAAGAAUACUCAAGGCGAGUAUCACAAGCGAUUAAACAAGAUCAUGCACUCGAAGCUGCCAAAAAUAUAAAGAGAUAUAGCAAGUGUCGAAGGAAGAAAUGAAGAAAAUAUCUUUGUAUUUAUACAAGUAUUCGCUUACAACAACCCUCGAGGGGUCCUUACAUAUGAUUACAUUACAUAUGGUUACAAAGUCCCACAGGGGAUCCCUACUAAAAAGUGAAUAAGUACAAGUGAUAUGCAUACAGCAGGAGCCGAAGGACCUAACCUAUUCAUGCUGCGUCUCCAUCAUUAUCCUCCCAGGCAUAUGACUUCAAAGACAAUAUCUUCCCAGUCCGACCCCCUCGGGGGCCACAUCCCAAUACUCCCAGAAUGGCAUCUUCAAAAGGGAGGGUAUGAAAAAGGAAGGCGGGGGAGAAGAGCAAAAUGACGAAGGAGAAGCCGGAAGAACAUGAGAAGUGGCUGGGUGAAAAAUUCGGCUAGUACGAACUCCACCAGUACUGCCUUUUCGAAGCCACUUCUUGAGACGUCGCCUCGGCCUGGAAGGCAACAGCUGACAGGAACCGCCGACACACCCCCCUGGAAUCCAAAAGGGGUGUAACACGCCGAGCUGAGGGAGGAGGGUGAGCAGUGGUGUAUAAUCUGAGCCCCCUCUUGAGCACCAGUGCAUAAUCCAAAGUAUCCCCGGGGUAGGAGGAAAUCGGUCCUCCACCUCAUCACCCCGGGCCAGCGACAACAACAGUGACAACAACAACAACAACAACAACAGCAUCACAGUAGCACAACUUUGCCCAAUCAAAAGAAGAUCGAGGCUUGGGUCACAGUACACAUGGCGUAAUAUCUUGAGGCCACAGGCUCCAAGCAUGGCAAGAUGACAUAAAUUCAAGAUAGCGGGAAAGGAAGAAAAGAUGGAUAUCGCAGGAAAUUUGGAUAAAAGGCCAACCACGAAAGGUCCCAUUUAUAGGAAGAGCAAAGUAACUGACGGCGCCAUUACCGCCCUCGAAAAGCAUAGCAACAGGCGCAAUCAAUGCAUUCAUAGAAGCUGAACCGAUAGCAACGGAGAUCGAAGAAUCACAACAUUUCAGGUAAUCCUAGAGAAGCAGAAAGGCGGGGCGCCUCGACACUUGUAAUAACGGGACUGCACCGUCAGUGCGACGUCGUUAUGAGAGAUCGAGAAGUAGGGUGUCAAAAUCAUUUUUUAUCACUUCCCUCUAAGAAACGCGGAGACUAUCUCUGCAUGGUGAAAUCUGGGAGGCCGAUUUCUCCUCGACUGAAUACCUCGAAGGAUGAUACCGGAAGCCCGGGAUCUCGAGCCUAUCACGCCCCUCAAGUUCGGCUGGUAUCCUGCCAAGGAUAAUGUUGACUAAAGCCCCGAUGAACGCAGGGAUCUCCCAAGGAAUAUACCGGGGGUCGAUCAGGUCUAUUCAAGCGGCUCGACAUCAGCCCAUGCGUACAUCGCAAAGUUAGCCAGUUGUCUCGUCCUAUUUCUUUUAUCAAGCAACGUAUCUUUUACGAAGUUGGGGCUUCCUCCUUCCUAUAGAAGGGGAGUCGCUAACACCCUGUAAAGGCAGAGCUCCAACCAUUCUGCUCAAGUGCAAUAAUAUCUUCUCUCUUUUUCUCCUCUCUAACUUGCUUGCCCUCACUGGCUCGAAGCCAUUUAGCUUUAUUGCCUUCUUAUCUGUUCUUUGUUUAUCACUUGGUAUUAGCUCGAAGUCACCGUAAUAUCUAUCGUUCUCUUACUUGUUCUUCGUUAUAUAACCUAGUAGUGGCCAUAAAGAGCCUUGUUUAAUUAUAUCCUCAACUGUUAUCCCAUCCCCGACUAUCCCCGAUACCUCGGACUCGACCCUGUCACCGACCUCGAGGUCCCUCAUCAAUCGGACCUACAUCCGGGCAGCAGGCCCUUCGGUUCGAUUACUAUCUCGUUCUAGCUUACAUUUCAUCAUUAAACUCUGUAUUAUUAGCAUCAACUGCUCUAACAACUAGCUCGAAAAUAGAUUAUGUUUUUUUAGAAUCCCGUCUACAAAUUUAAUUGUUGUUACCAUUUUCACGGUAAACAUGAACCUUUUUAUUUCUUUUAUAGAACAAAAGAAUCUAGAGAGUUGGUGAAAAGUCGCCCUCCCCUCUCUCACUUUUUCUUUUUCUUUUCUGGCCUUUCUCAUUUUAAUUAAAAAAUUAUUUAAUUUAUUUAUAAAUGUACACGAUUUGUAGGAAAUAUUUUUGGUGCGCCUUGGUUAUACGAGUUGUGCAUUUUUUUAACUCAUUUGUAAAUGCUCACAUAAUGCCUUACUUUCUAAAAAGACAUGAAAAAAUAACUAUUUACUCUUCACGAAACUUAUUUUUGGACGGGAAAAUCAUUGUCUUGCUAAUGACCCUUGUUUAUCACGGUCUCUUCGACGGUUCAAAACUUGUUUUCAUUUAUAAUUGGUAUUGUAUAUGAUAAAAAUCGGGUCCAUCUGAUUUUGCUAAUCGAAACAAAGGAGCUGCAUCAGGGUAAUUUUGUAAUGAAUCAGAUCCGAGCUCGAAAACGAGGCAAUCGAGUCCAAAAGAUCAAAAUGUCCGUCGAGACCGAGGCUAGCGACAAUCGAGACUAAGUAAGACCAGCUUCGAGUGGAAUGCAAUAACGGAAAAAUGAGAUAUCCGUAACCGAUCGGAGAUCACGGUGGAAAUCUCUGAGCAGAUCUAAUCAAGGGCGGUUAUUUGUAUCAAUCAUGGGAUUUACUUCCGUAAUUAGAAUUGUACCACAAUUAGGAUCACUCUAGUAUAUAAAGAGGGGUCCUCGUCAUUUGUAGACGCCUUACAUUCAUACUGAUCAAAAUAAUAUAUUAUUUCUUUAUUGUCCAUUAAUUUAUUGUUCUUUAACUGUUAUUGCUUUACAACUCUCGAGGGUUCAUUAGCUCGAGAACGCUGUUCAAACACUGGUUUGUUUUAUAUUCUUGUCAAUUCUAUCACUUAUCUCUAGAUUAAUCGGUUGGUAUUAAGUGAAAUUAUGUAUCCUUAAAACCACAUUACAAGUUUAAUUGUUGCUCGAUAUUUAGGGUAAACAGAUAUUUUAAGGGGAAGAAACUAUCAAAUCAUUUCAAAGUUUAUCAUUAUCUCUAGUAUCAUACAUAUUUAAGUCGUCUUAUAAUAAUACAAAUAACUCUUUUAUCUUCUUUUUCCUUGGAACAGGUUGUGAGUUCGAGUCUCCCCAAGAGCAAGGUGAGAAGUUCUUGGAAGGAAGAAUGUCGGGGGUCUAUUUGAAAACAGUCUCUCUACCCUAGGGUAGGGGUAAGGUCUGCGUACACACUACCCUCCCUAGACCCCAGUAAGUGAAAUUAUUAUGGGUUGUUGUUGUUGUUGUUGUAUCCUACAACAUGCAACAAAAGGACUUUCGAACCAAAAGGAUUAAAAAACAGGUCAUGUGCUGAUCGAGCACAAAACUAUCAUUGUCCAAAAUCUGAUAGACUUGGAGCCC